rnacentral:lncRNA from 1 species
CAAGACUCAAGAGGGGAAGAUGUUGAUUAAACAGCCAGCAACAUGGCCAUAGAGACGACUUCAUCUUGCCUAAUGAAAAGAAUCAAGAAACACUUCAAAGGAGUCACUGGGAUGCACAUAAAAUACCCACACUCUUAGGCAGUGCUCUACCAGUGACUGUUAAGUAUAUGAUAUCCUCAGUCAAGCUACGGGCGUGGGCUCCCUGAUACAGACCAGACCUUGAAGAACAGCAAUUCCUCGUCAGAGUUUUAGUCCAGCGGCACCAUUCCGUACAAGAGCAGUUAUAUUUUAGGAAACUGGGACAAGAGGUCAAGGCUGGGAGUGCUUCGGGAGACAUGCAUCUCACCUAAAAGCGAGAACGAUAUUCAGUUUUCUCAACGAAUAUGUAUUGAGUGACUUCUACUUAUAAGCACUGCAUGAGGUCCUACUGGGAAAAGAAAGACGAGUAAGAGCAAAAAAAAAAAAAAAUAAGCUCUAUGAGAGGAAGAUAAGUCGGGGCAGUGGGGGUUCAAGGGAGAAACAGACAGAAGAAACACAGAAAGUGGCUCUAUAGAGGAGGGGAGCUUUAGAAGAUGAGAACGAUUUCAAUCUGUGGAGGAUGGGGACUUUCCAGACUGAGACAAUGUUAUCUGCAAAUGAAUGGACGUGGGAGAGGCGGAAGACUUUUCAGAGGUUUUGCAUUCUAGACUGGCUGGAUCAUGGUUUUUGGAGACAGGCCUGGAAAUGGAGUGUGGCACUAGAAGAGAAGAACUUCGUUUCCAGGUCAGCAUCACAAGACGCAUGAAAGAGGACUCAUCGCCAGGGCAUGGAGCUGGUGUUUUGAUCAAAAUGGAAUUUGCUCUCAAAUAGACAUGUAUUCACUAAUCUCCUUUCUUUUAAAUAAGUAAAUAAAACAAACACAAAAUCUCUUCCAGCUCAGCUGACUAAGUCCUAGUGGGGAUGACAGCAACAUUCACUUGCAAGAUCCCACAGAGCUAGUGUCCAAAAUGAAAAUAAAUGUGACUUUUCAUAUCAAGGCAGAGUGUUGCUUUGUUUGCAAUUCAGUUAAAGAACAGGCAUUACAAUGCUAUUGUGCUACGAGAUGCACAUCUUUGGGGCUCUAACACGGCGAAAUCUGUGCUUGACAGAUGGGCACCAGUAUCUUAAGAGAGCCAGAAGGGCACAGUUCUUGGUUUCCAAGGAGCUAGGUUUGGGUGAGGUGGAAGUGGGGGAGCAAAGAAAA